CACGAAUUUCAAAUGCUUCAUGUUUCAGAGAAUCUCCAACGAAGCUUAUAUAUCUAAUCGGAGAACAAAACGACUCUUCUCUUGAAAAAAAGAACGGCGCAGCUUCUUUCCAAUUUAACGAGUAUUUUGUUUUCCAGAGCGCGCGAGGAGAGGAGCGAGCCCAGUGACGUAUCCCAACAUCAGGGAGUGCGCGCUCUUUGCCCCCACGGGAACUCGCGUACUCAUUGGGGGGAUGGAUAACCUGUCAGAACAGGACGUUGCUCUCACUGUUGACAAACUGAAGUGUGGAAACUGGAAAGGAAAGAAAGCGACACAGUUUUCAUUGCCAGAGCCAUCCCGAAUAUACUUAAGGAUCUACUCUGCUCCCGUUCCCUAGCGAUGGACAAGAAAAGUUAAUAAAUAAUUACGUUUUUUUCAACACACGUUUAAUUUACUUUAGAAUACUUAUAUGGGCUACAAGUCGGUGGUUCAGCGGUACUAUUCUGAAUUUAUCACGUUAGUGUUGCAUCUAACCAUUCUGCACAUGUGGUGCACAAGUUUAGUGUAUUUACAGAAAGGACAUGCAUACUAACAAAUAUUUUAUGGUUUUGAAGAUGCGCAUUUGAAGUGAAGAAUGUAAGCAACAACGUUUCUGAACACAUGGAAAUACCUUGUGUUAGAAGUUGUGACGCACGUGUUUUAAUCUUUGUUUCACCCUCAGUUUGGAACACCCUAGGUGUUCCAAGGACAGCUGAUUAUUUCGGUGGCCUCCUGGUCACUACCUCUUUUUUCAGCGUUUUUGUCAAACUUUGUUCCGCCCUUUCCCAUAACAAUGUACGAUGAAGUAUCCUUCGCGUCCUGCCUAAAUCACAAGCCCGCUAAAGUUAUGCACGAGCUGAGGGCAAAGUGCUGCAGUUAAUGGCAGUGCAAUUCUAAUUGUCAGUUGGCCUUUGCAUGAUUGUAUACAUCUGAUUAAAUAUUAUACCGAUCCAG